rnacentral:rRNA from 1 species
GACGAACGCUGGCGGCGUGCUUAACACAUGCAAGUCGAACGGAAAGGCCCUGCUUUUGUGGGGUGCUCGAGUGGCGAACGGGUGAGUAACACGUGAGUAACCUGCCCUUGACUUUGGGAUAACUUCAGGAAACUGGGGCUAAUACCGGAUAGGAGCUCCUGCUGCAUGGUGGGGGUUGGAAAGUUUCGGCGGUUGGGGCUGGACUCGCGGCUUAUCGGCUUGUUGGGGGGGUAGUGGCUUACCAAGGCUUUGACGGGUAGCCGGCCUGAGAGGGUGACCGGCCACAUUGGGACUGAGGGACGGCCCAGACUCCUACGGGAGGCAGCAGUGGGGAAUAUUGCACAAUGGGCGGAAGCCUGAUGCAACAACGCCGCGUGCGGGAUGACGGCCUUCGGGUUGUAAACCGCUUUCGCCUGUGACGAAGCGUUAGUGACGGUAAUGGGUAAAGAAGCACCGGCUAACUACGUG